UUUUUUUUACAACAAAGCAACAAAGGUAGUUUAUCCAAUUUAUUCAUUCCGGACAUUUUUUUUAUCACUGUUUCAUGUAGGUUUGUAAAUGUGUUUUGUUUUGUUUGACUCUUUUUCCAUUGAUUUUCCCUUCAUGUUUCUUUUCAUUUUGGUUUCUAUAGUUGUGAAGCAAUUGUGAUGAGAUUAAAUGUUUCAUUCUGUUUGAUUUCUACUUUCUAUAGUUGUUGAAGGGUUUGUGUUGGUUACAGGAAUAUGAACAUGAAACUGAUGAAAAAAUUUCUAU
rnacentral:lncRNA from 1 species